rnacentral:rRNA from 1 species
AUUGAACGCUGGCGGCAGGCCUAACACAUGCAAGUCGAGCGGAUGAAGGGAGCUUGCUCCUGGAUUCAGCGGCGGACGGGUGAGUAAUGCCUAGGAAUCUGCCUGGUAGUGGGGGAUAACGUCCGGAAACGGGCGCUAAUACCGCAUACGUCCUGAGGGAGAAAGUGGGGGAUCUUCGGACCUCACGCUAUCAGAUGAGCCUAGGUCGGAUUAGCUAGUUGGUGGGGUAAAGGCCUACCAAGGCGACGAUCCGUAACUGGUCUGAGAGGAUGAUCGGUCACACUGGAACUGAGACACGGUCCAGACUCCUACGGGAGGCAGCAGUGGGGAAUAUUGGACAAUGGGCGAAAGCCUGAUCCAGCCAUGCCGCGUGUGUGAAGAAGGUCUUCGGAUUGUAAAGCACCUUAAGUUGGGAGGAAGGGCAGUAAGUUAAUACCUUGCUGUUUUGACGUUACCAACAGAAUAAGCACCGGCUAACUUCGUG